GAUGAGUGUAUCAAGCCUAGAUCAGUUCAACUAUCAGACUGCCAAGAGAAGGUUAAAGACUUUGGGGAGAAAAAUAAAACAGACAAAAACCAACAAAAAAUUCCGUUCUCCCUUAGAAAGAAAUCACACAGUUUUAGGAUGGUGUUGGCUGAAAACCUAGAUGUCCUGCUGCCCAAACGAAACAAGUAAGGAUGUCUGAAUAGUCCUUUAAAGUCUACAAAGAACUUGUACCUGCAGGAUCUUAUUUGGGUUCUAUAAUAUCCCUAGGAGUAAGUUAUAAGACAUUUUAUCCCUGUCUUCCUUGUAAGUGAACUAAAACAGAGUCUAGAAGGUUUGUCCAAAGCCACAAAUGAAUUGGUUAUGGAGUUAGGCCUUAUACCAGGCCUCUUGACAGUUGUCUAUUGGCUUUCACGCCCUCCCAUGCCCUGGCUGUUUUGUGUCAUGCAAACUAGUUCUUUCCUCCUAGUUCUGUAAUAUAUGUAGUUAGUGACUUCUCAUAGGGCACUGGAUGAGGCAUUGGCAGGAAGUCACAGUUCUUGAUUUUCAGACAUUGACUGCCAGACUGCAGUGCAGGGAACGUGUCACUGUUUUAAGAAUGCAUUCUGAUGGAAGUAGGGCCAGGAGCCAUGAAGCAUAAAUCCUAACUAUCCAAAGGCAACUCACUCUUUUAUGUGUAUUGGGACCACGUCUACUAGCCCCAGGCCUCUUCUCAGGACUGCAGGUCCUCCUAUUUUUUAGACAUGGGCACACUCCGGAAUUCCUGAAUCAUGAACUUAUGCCCUUUGCAGCACUGCAUUCUCUCCUCUCAAUCUAGAACCUUAUAUACAGUUUGAUUUUUCCAGUCUCCCUGUCACUACAUUAAAUAAUUUAUUGUUAUUUCUCUGACUUUUGAUUGAUUGACUCUGUCCAAGUACCUUCCUUGGACCAAUAUUUUUGGCUCUACCUUAGACCUACCACACAGCUUCUCUACUCCUUUUUUCUCUGGUUCUUAGUAAAUGCUUGACUUUUAACUGGCUAGGCCCAAGAACUCUAAUUUGUUCAACAAAUCCUUGUGGGACACCUACCAGACAUAAGCCUGUGCUGUCUCAGCAAUGUUUGGAGAGACUAGUGCCUUUAUUCUUGGUCUUGCGAAGAGAGAAGACACUAAGGCAUUUUAUCUUAACAUCUUGUCCUAUUUCAGCAGUUCCAAAGCAGAAUAAAUGGAGCUGGAUAGCAUUCCCUACUUGGAAGGAUGUUGGUAUGACUGCUUAAUAGAGUUGGAAGGAGGGCUCUGUUGCAAUUCUUCAUUUCCUUUGUCUAUUAUUGCAGGUUUUCAUUAACCUUUGAGGUUUCUUCAUUUUGUGGUUUGCAUUUUAAGCAUUUUCUGGUUUUGCAACUGCCUAGCAAAUAAUUCCUUUUGAUCCAACUGUUUCCCUCAAUUACUAUUAUAUUUAACUCUUCUGUGAAAUAGCAAACUCCACACCCCCUGGAUAUCUCAAACCAUGGUUCCACCCAUCUGUAGCCCUUAUGGUUCAGGGUUUCAUUUAGGAACUGAGCUCCAUGUAUUUGAGGAAAUGGUCCAAGAAUGCUCGAUUCUGCUUCUCUCCCCAGCUGGACAAGUUCUCUUCCUUCUUCUAAUCCUGACUGAAAUGAAGAAGAAAGAAGGACAAAAGGGGAAGGAAGGAAGGAACAUAUAUCUCAUAGUAUAUAUCAUCCCCUCCACAAAUCCUGCCUCACAUGUGGAUUUCUGCAUUGUCCAAUUUAGGAUGAUCUUUGACUCCCCUAGUCAUUCAAAUACUAGCACUUUGGGGCACCUGGGUGGCUUAGUUAGUGUCUGCCUUCAGCUCAGAUCAUGAUCCUGGGGUCCUGGGAUUGAGCCCCACAUUGGGCUCCCUGCUCAGUGGAGAAUCUCCUUCUCCCUCUCCUACUGCUGUUCCCCCUACUUCUGCUCUCUUUUUCUUGGUCAAAUAUAUAAGUAAGAUCUUUAAAAAACAAACACAAAUAUUAGCACUUUGUAAAUUUUAGUCAAAGACAACCCUGGACAAAAAUGUAAAUUAGGCAAUUUUAAUUUUGUAUUAUAGUAUUGAUAAAAUAGCUAAUACUUAUGGAAUACUAAUUAUGUCUUAGCAAUUAUUUAAAAAUCAUUCAUUAUCUCAUUUAAUUUUUACUGCAAAAGUUUGAAUUAAGGGUAUUAUGUUCGUCUUACAGAAGAGGAAGCUGUGGUUUGAAAGAUAAUGUAAGUUGCCUUCUCAAGGUGUCACUGUUAGGAAAUGGCAGAAUGAGACUGAAUCCAAGUCUUUCUUAUUCUGAGGUCUUGGAUUUCUCAGUAUAUUAAUGCAAAUAGAUAGAGGGUGCCAUUGCCAAUUCCUGUGAGCCACCUCCUUACCUUGUAAAUAGCUCAGGAGCCCUCAGUAACCCAUGGCACUCAGACAAAAGGCCUGGAUAAGGACCCUCUGUUGAUCUAUAUGUUGCUUCUAUCUAAAAAUUAUUUUCUCCUACUUUUUAGAGAAAUAUAUCCAUGGAAGUUAGAGUAUUUUCUUCCCAGAGUCCUGGGGCAUGUGUACCCCCCUUUAAAGACCAUGGUCUCAGCCACAGGGAACCACUGAAGGUUAUUCAGUGAGUGGCAGGCUGUGGAGAAGGACACUAUCAUGAAGGUUUCAAGAAUGGGAGGGGUAUGAGGUUUAAUGGGGAGGGCAGAAGGCUGUUGGAGCUGUUUAGGCAAGAUGUGGAGAGGCAGAGGUGAUCUGGAGAGAGAAGGAGAUAGCCAGGUGAGAUUUUUGGAGGGUGAAAUUUAGGAACUGCUGGCUGCUUGAAUGCAGGCGGUACAGUGUAUUCCUGUCAAGAAUAUUUGCAUUUUAAGAGAGGCUGCCUGGGGGAAUUGCAGGCUACCUCCAGGGCAAGAGGAGAUGUAUUUUAGGUAAGGGUUACAUCAUCCUGUUUGCUGUCACCUUUGCCUGAGUGCACCCUUGCCUGAGUGUACCCUUGCUGCUCACCUUGCAGAAGCUUCUGAGGGGUUUGGGGGGCUUGUAAGUCCAGCUCCUUGGAGAGCCAAUCCCUGAGACCCACUGGGAAAGCACAGACCAUUCUCAUCCUGAGAGCCACUCAGUUAGGGAAAAGGAUUAGCAAAGAAUUAGAGGCUGCUUCCAUGACCCUUUCUCUACUGCCAGGGAAUUCUCUGUAAGGCUGAAGGGAGAGUCUACAUACAGGGCAAAUCCAGGUUGAUUGUCCCCUGUCUCUCCUGUUAAUCGCAUACUUGUGAAAUCAUAGUACUCUGGAAGCCUCAGAAUGAUAGAAGUGAUAAGAAAUGACAGCCAUGAAGUAGCAUCCAACCAACCUCUACCCAUUGCUCUAAUCUAAUCUAAUCUAAUCUAAUCUAAUCUAAUUUGUUAUCUAAGAGAGCAAGAGGUGGUCCUGUUCACUGUGCUGCUUGUAGCACCUAAAGUAGUGCCUGCCCUUCAGUGGGCUAUCCACAGAGAUUACUGCAUAAGUAAAUUAAUGGACCAAUGACAAAGUCUUUCUGUAGAGAUGCUCGCUUCUUCCCACCUCAACAUUUCCAAAGGCAAUGUGUCCACUGUGUCCCAAGAUGGUAUUUUGCAUUGUUCAAUGAUUAUAUUAAGAGCAAAUUUUUCUUGUCCUUUAAUAAAAUAUUUCUCCUUGUAAUUCUCUGUGGUCUUGGGUUUGCACUGGAGGGACUCAGAACAAAGCUACUUCCUUUUCCACGUGGCACAGCUUCAAAUCCUUGAAGACAGCUAUUUUCCCACUGAGAUUCCUCCUUGGGCCAACUCCAGCUGGUUUAUUCAACCAUACCUCUCAGUACUGGAGUCCUGGCCUGGUCAUUUUCUUUCAUUUUGCAUGUCAGAUCCACAGAUGAAGGUGGAGACAACCUUAACUUGUGAGCAGAGAUGACUUCUCGGCCCGGAAUUGGCUCACAUGGUAAUGGAGGCUGAGAGGUCCCACAGUCUGUCAUCUGUAAGCUGGAGACCCAGGAAAGCCAGUGGUGUCCUUCGGUCCUCACUCGAAGGCCUGAGAACCAGGGGAGCCAAUGGCAUGAAUCCCAGUCGGAGGGCAGAGGAUGAAAUGUUCCAUCUCAUCAGUAAGGCAGAAAAGGAGGUGAAUUCCACCUUCCUCCUCUUGUUCUAUUCAGGCCCUGGUGGCACUGGAUGAGGCCCACCCACAGCCGGGAGGGCAACCCACUUAACUCCGUCUACUGAUUCAAACACUAAUCUCACCUAGAAACACCCUCACAGACACACUCGAAAGAAGUGUUUCACCUGGGCAUCCUGUGGUCCCUCAGGCUGACACAUAAAAUUAACCAUCACAACUGCUUUCAUUGGUUUCUUACAACUGUCUAGUUUGGGGAUGGAUUUAGGGUCUUCUGGAGUAGUAUUAAUGAAUGCAGUGAGGGAAAACUUGGGAGACAGGUCUUGGGGGUUUCAGGGGCAAGGGCAGCAUGGAUGGUCUGAGAAGUAGCAACAGAGAUCAUCUCUACGUUCCAGAGAUACACAGAUCUCAUUUUUUUUUCUAAGCUUUUGUUCUUACAAAAAUGAUUUUGCGAGAAUGAGAAAAGGAUGUCUAUCUGGUACAGAUGCCAGAGCAAGGGCACAGAGCUUGACAAGCAGUGUGCAGGCUGGAUUUCAGCUCCAACUUACUUUCUCAGCCAGGUCUGCUUGUGCAGAACACAACCUCUACAACCAGACAUGGUAGCUCUGGCUAAGGAUUAUACUGUGUCAUAGGUGGUAUUAUUAAGAAAAGUAACCAAAAGGAUGGUUUGAGAAUUUGUAGGUUGUAGUCAUGAAACUUCCCAGAGGAGGUGGGGUUUGAACUUUAAAAGAUGAGAAGUUGGGCAGAUAGAGAAUGGGAGCAGGGGGUUCAUGAUCUAGAUUUGCUUGCAUAAAAUUGAGUGGUACUUUGUCUUCCUUACUCAUCCUUGUAUCUUGGAGGACUUGGCAGGGUGCAGAUAGUGAAAGAAAGAUGGAAAAAAAGGAAGGGAAAACUUGAUUAUAGGUCCUCAUGAUUCUUUUUUCUUACCACUGAUUUCUUCUAUACCCUCACAUCCUUUGAUCAGAUCAGGAUAGGAUAGACUAUGUUGAGGUGACGACCCCAACAUGUCAUUGGUUGUACACAAUGAUGGGGGUUCAAUGGAAACUCAAGGUGGGACCUGUUUGGAAGGCACCAAGGUGACAGCAUUGGAUACUCUAGACUGCAGAUACCCUUGAAAAUUUAACCUCCCAUUCGAGAGUAAGCAAGCGAAACUCCAGUAAGUUUUGCAUGUGGGCAUAGAACUCUUCAGUGACCGGGCAGAAAUACAUCCCAGGUCUCUUGAUUCUUGUUUUAUUGCUCUAUCCACUAAAAACAGGAGAACGAGUUUUAAAAUAUCAGUUUUAAAAUAUCAAGCUUAGUAGUGACAGAAGAUGUGUGGCUUCUGACUCUUUGGAGAUUUUACUAUUUCUAAUUUGUUACUCUCCAAUUUAGCAUAGAUGAAUGUCAAUAACACUUGGAACCUGUUUUUCCUUUAAUUAAUUCUGCAAAUAAAAGCCCCCAUGACACACUUAAGCCGAGUACGGCCACACUGUAUAGCAAUUAGAACCCUGGAUGUGGGCAUUUCCCAUAAAAGUGAAGGUGUUACUAGCAACAGUGGGAUGCAUACCACUGUUUGCCCCCUUCUUGACCCCUUUCGCACUGGGUCAUUAUCUCAUCUAACCUAUGAAGAGCCUUCUGUGACCUUGGGCAAAUCCUUUAGCUAUUCGUAUCCCAUUGUCCUCACUCUCUAUCACAUGUGUGACAGGUUAAAAAUUUUGAAGUCAUAACUGAUUUCCAAUAUGCCCACUCUGCUACUGGUGUCCUUCCCCAGUACAGGCAGUGUGGCUGGUUUGGGCUCAGCCCCUCAGAGCAUAUAUUCAACAGCAGAAAGCAGAAGGGGAAAAAAAUGAAAAAGACUUUUUCCCCCUGGCUUUUCAGUUUCAAAUGCCUAAAAACUAGGGAUGUAGAAAGGACUCGGGCACAGAGAAACAAUUUGGAUGGAAGGCGGAGCAAGGUUUUCCAAGUGACCCUUCCUUCCUCCCCCUCUAGAUUAGAAAGUGGAACCUUUAGGCCUGGAACUACGAUUCUGCUCUGCUGGUGCAACAGGGGCUUAAAAAUUAAUAACGUUGGGUUGCAGAAAAAUUUAACGAUAUCUAUUCCUUCCACUCAUCUGUUUGUAGACUGAGAUUCAUACCAGCCCCAUGUGUGAACCCAUCUGACUUUCCUGAGAAUCUUUGUCAGCACAUUGCCAAUCUGUGGCCUGAUUAAAAACCUCCAAAAGAUGGGCCAAUCCAUUCCAAGGCAACAGCUUUGUCCCUGCUGGUGGGAAGAGAUUAGGGGUACUCUGGGAAGUCAUUGCUGAUUUCAGAAAUACCACUGGUCUAAUGAACCCGAGUUAGAAAGAAGACUCUAUAAGGCUUUAAAUUUUCCUGGUUCAGUGCAAGAUAGUUGGCAGAGAGGGAAAAGAGGGCAAAUUCUACUUUGUUAGGAGUUGCUGACUAAAUUCUCUGAGUCUCGGGAGGCUACCUAUAGCGCUAGUGCUCUGACCAUCCUGAGGCUGCCCUGAUAAUCUCUCCUGACGACUGCCAUUCAUUCCACCAGACUUCUGUUAUUCCACUGUGAGUGCUACAAAUACUGAAUGUUUCAAUAAAUGUCACAGCAGGUCCGAUUGAUAGUUAGGGAUCAGAGCUGCUCCUGGUAUUUCCUAUGUGCCUUGUUGGCUUUUGGAGGUGGAACAUCCGAUUAGACAAAAAGAAUGAAAAAUAAAUAACUAUAUAUAUGUUUAACAUACUCUCCAAGUGGAAUGUGUAAAUUAUACUUUAAAAGGGCCUUAAGAAACAACUUGACUCUAAACACAAAAUUGGAACAGAGUGGGAAGAGAAGAAAGUGCCAGCCUGGGGGCUCCCUGCUUCUUCUGAGACCCCAUCACUCUUACCAGUUGCCACAUUUCACUUAGAACUGCUAGUUCGCAUUUCACACAGGCCUGUAAGUUCCUUCAGAACAAGGCCUUCUUGCUUCUGGCCCUUGCCCUCGGGGUCUUGUUCAGACUGGUAGACUUUGGCUAGGUGAUCCAUAACUGUCUGUGGUUGAUUAAAAAGCCUUCCCUAUCACUGCAAACUUUAAAUCCAGCCAGGGAUCUAUCCUUCAGAUACCUGACAUCUUGGGAUAUUUAGUAAGAAAGCAUAAUCCCCAUCCAUAAUGUUCUAAAAAUUUAGGACAGGAUGGGUCUCCAACAUUAUACAACAAACUUUGAUUGCUUUCAGCAGAGGUCUGACUGGUUCUUUGAAUCAGCCGUUGGCUUUAUGUCCAGGUGUAAUAUAUUCCGAACAGUAACCCAGUAAAUCAGACUCAAAAUCUUGCACCAAAUGUACUUCCCAGAUUCAUGCAAAAGGCAGAGGUUUGGUUAGAAUUUUCUCAAUGAUUCUAUAUCCAGUUUGUGUGAGCAAAGACCCCCCAAAUACUAUUAAACUCCUUAGUGAUGUGAACCAGAUGGAAAAUAAAACAAAAGAAUUCACAACUCAUGUUAGACUGAAUUGAAUGUCUUUAAUUUCACACAAUGAAUAACAUAUGAAUAGGAUUAACUUUUUUUUUUUAAUAGUUAAGUGCUCUAUACUGUGCUAACCUGAUCUGGUAGCGAAAAAGACUGAGCUUUCUUUUAGAAAAAAUGUUUAAAACCCAACAUCUAAGACCAUGGAGGAGCAUGACAGUAAAGCAUGCCAGAUGUAUCUACGCCUCAAAUAACAGCAAGUCCGUGUUCAUUUUAAAUGUACAAAAAUGCUUUAUGAAUAAAAACUGUUACAAAAAGAACAUUUCAAACAAUGUACAAUUUUCUUGCCUCUAUAUUCAAUAAAAUACAAAUACAUUUUUUGUUCUAAAAUAUGUUUACAUACAAUCAAAGUAGAACAUGCAAAUUACACUUUAAAAAAGGCUUUUAAAAACCACUUAUGAAUACAAACUAAAAAUUAGCCAGCACGACUUGUAAGACAAUCUUGUGCCCCAUUUUUUUCUUUUGAAAUAUAUAUAUACAUAUUUAACACAUCAUGUGCAUUUAUUAUUAUUUAAGA